CGCGCAAAAAAGCCCGGCUAGGGUUCCAGCCACCGCCGCCUCCCUGCCACAUUUGCUCCCUCUCUUCGCUGAUCCACCUACGACACGCUUUUCUUCUUCGAUGCGGCCUAACCGCGUCCCGUUCGCCCGCCCGGCCACCUGCCCGUGAGGGUUUCCGCGGCACCGCCGCCGCCGGCUGCCAUUCACGCCCACGCCGAGGGAAAGGCCGUAGUCAAGCCGUGGGGCGGGGGCAUCGGCGACGGGGCUGAUGCGACGGACCUCCAUGCGCCCUCCAAACCGAAUGCCCUCUCGUCCACGUCUACAUCUGUCCGUUUAUCUCCUCUGAGUCAGAGUGCCCUCCGUCAGAACUUUUUGUCAGCAUGGCGGCCGGUGGCAGCGGCCAUCUACGAUCUGUUCGUGCGUUGCCCUGAUGGAGGCGGUCGUGCUCCAUAGCAAGGCAGAAAGGGAAACCAACUUCAACUUUGCGAGGAGAAGUUCCGCAUUUGAGAAGCCGGAGAAGAGUAUCUCACUAAGUACAGAUUCGAGUGACUUUGCCAACUUGCUGACAUGGGGUCUCGUUCAGAGCACAAGCUUCACCUGAAUAACCUUCUUUCAGUUAGUAAAACACUCAGCAAAGCAGCCGACUCCGUCGAUGUCGUGCUUGUUUACCAGCCAUGCAUUCCAGACAAGUUGAAUGCCGGUGGCAACAGGCAUUCAACGGCACCCUCGUCGGCGCUCUACUCACAGGACCCCGCCUCCCAUGCUGGACCUCCUUGCCGCCCGCACAACGCUAUUACUCCACGCAUGCAUGGCCAAACUUCCUCAUAGGGGUGCGUAGGUGUGUCGUUCCUGCAGACAUAUUUUUUGGUGCUACGUCGACAUGCUAGGCCACGCUUCAUCUUCGACUGGCUCAACCUCCACGGCACGGCGUAGCCACGCAGGCUACAGUCCGCCCAAGCGCCAGGAUGUGCAAGGAGUUCUGGGGCGUGUGUACGCCGACUAAUGUGACUUUCUGCUUUACUCAACGAGCAAUCCUAGGGAUUUCUUUUUUUUUUGGAAUUCAUUAUACAUUCUGUUUUUUAUUUAAUUUUAGGGCCUCAUGUGGAUAUAUCUGUUGCAGAUUGGUGAAGAUAAAGCUGCCGAUGUGGUGCUCACUGCUCACCUCGGAUGCAAUUCAAAAUUAUGUUGAUUUAUGUUCCUCUGUGUUACAGUUUAUUCUGGUUUUUAGAAAUACUAAUAUUUUUUCAGCAAGGACAAUGACUAUUCUUAUUUUGACAUAGAGUGUGGUAGAUGAACAUGUCCUCAUUUCAGGUUGAAGGCAUUCCAAAUUCACUUAUAAUAGAAGCUCAAUAAUGCACUUAGUCUACCACCAAAUUCAAAUUAUUGAAAGAUCAAUCCAACAUUAAUUUGCCUCAGAUACAGUCUGGUGCAUUUUCCUUAACAUGACACUCUUUUUAGAGUGAUAACCUUCAUUUCAGGUUGACGGCAUUCCAAAGAAACUUCAAGAUUGCAAGAUAAUGAAAGCGUAAUUACAUUUUUUUUUUGCAAUGGCAAGGUGAAAUUGUAUAAAAGAGACAAAGAAGAGUUGCUUCAUGUCCUUAAUCAUCGGUGUGCACCAACGCAGAAAAGUGGUGAUAACUUUCUCAUGAACUUUUAAUUUUCCCCUCCACUCACAAAUUGAUGGCUUUAUCUAAUUGUAAGAUAGGCACAUUGCAAGGUGUAUUUAGACAUCAUUAGUGAUAAAUGUAAAAAAUAUUUAUCCCUUGUAUUCGUGUUUUCAGCAUGAUCCUUCCAAGUACAUGUUUUAUGUUUCUAUUUGUAGCACUGUCAUAUGUUAGACCUAAUGCCUUGCUAAAUGUCCUAUGCAGGCCA